rnacentral:SRP_RNA from 1 species
CCUGGGAGUCGGGCGGACGCGGCUAUCGCCAACCCGGUCAGGUCCGGAAGGAAGCAGCCGUAACGAAUUCGUCGCGGGUCGUUCCGGCUCCCACCCUC